CAUACACAUAUAGAGUAAAGCGCAUAUCUCCCCAGACCUAUAGGCAACCCUUAAAGGCAUAGUCUCUAGUUAUAGUCCAAGUGGCUAGGUUUGCCACAACCAACCAAACUGGGAAUGCCCAGAUGGAGAGGUAGCAUCGUCGCAUCUCUGGGGCCCAAGAGUCUCCUAAGAGGUGCCUAGCAGCCUGCGAUAGUGCGCCGAUCUGCCAAGAACCCCAGAAAGAGUCCAGGUCCUU